rnacentral:lncRNA from 1 species
GUUUGAAGAAGAAAUCUUUAAUUGAUUUGUAAAAUCUUGACAUUUGUUUUGUGUAAAAAAAAAACAUGUAAUGUCAAAAAUUUGAUCACAAUCCAAAUUCAGAGCUGUAUCACGCUUGAAUGUUUUGUCCAUACUUGCCCCAACUGUUCAGGGUUCGACCUCUGCGGUCGUAUAAAGCUGCGCCCUGCGGAGCACCUGGUUGGUCCUGUUUUCAAAUUGGUCUACACUAAAGUCCAAAGGGUCCAAAAUUAAAC